rnacentral:rRNA from 1 species
GAUGAACGCUGGCGGCGUGCCUAAUACAUGCAAGUCGAGCGAACGGACGAGAAGCUUGCUUCUCUGAUGUUAGCGGCGGACGGGUGAGUAACACGUGGAUAACCUACCUAUAAGACUGGGAUAACUUCGGGAAACCGGAGCUAAUACCGGAUAAUAUUUUGAACCGCAUGGUUCAAAAGUGAAAGACGGUCUUGCUGUCACUUAUAGAUGGAUCCGCGCUGCAUUAGCUAGUUGGUAAGGUAACGGCUUACCAAGGCAACGAUGCAUAGCCGACCUGAGAGGGGGAUCGGCCACACUGGAACUGAGACACGGUCCAGACUCCUACGGGAGGCAGCAGUAGGGAAUCUUCCGCAAUGGGCGAAAGCCGGACGGAGCAACGCCGCGUGAGUGAUGAAGGUCUUCGGAUCGUAAAACUCUGUUAUGAGGGAAGAACAUAUGUGUAAGUAACUGUGCACAUCUUGACGGUACCUAAUCAGAAAGCCACGGCUAACUACGUG